rnacentral:rRNA from 1 species
GAUGAACGCUAGCUACAGGCUUAACACAUGCAAGUCGAGGGGAAACGACAUCGAAAGCUUGCUUUUGAUGGGCGUCGACCGGCGCACGGGUGAGUAACGCGUAUCCAACCUGCCCAUCACUUGGGAAUAACCUUGCGAAAGCAAGACUAAUACCCAAUGACAUCCCACGAAGACAUCUGAAUGGGAUUCAAGAUUUAUCGGUGAUGGAUGGGGAUGCGUCUGAUUAGCUUGUUGGCGGGGUAACGGCCCACCAAGGCAACGAUCAGUAGGGGUUCUGAGAGGAAGGUCCCCCAGAUUGGAACUGAGACACGGUCCAAACUCCUACGGGAGGCAGCAGUGAGGAAUAUUGGUCAAUGGGCGAGAGCCUGAACCAGCCAAGUAGCGUGCAGGAUGACGGCCCUAUGGGUUGUAAACUGCUUUUAUAAGGGAAUAAAGUGGGUCUCGUGAGACUUUUUGCAUGUACCUUAUGAAUAAGGACCGGCUAAUUCCGUG